rnacentral:rRNA from 1 species
AUUGAACGCUGGCGGCAGGCCUAACACAUGCAAGUCGAGCGGAUGUGCGGCCGCGUGAGUAUUUCCUAGGAAUCUGCAACGGAGUGGGGGAUAAGGACGAGAAAUGGAAGCUAAUGCCGCAUCCUCUCAGAUGAGCCUAGGCCGGAUUAGCUAGUGGGAGGGGGAAAUGACUAGCAAGGCGACGGUCCGUAACUGGUCUGAGAGGAUGAGCAGUCACACUGUAAGUGAGACACAGUCCAGACUCCUACGUGAGGCAGCAGUGGGGAAUAUUGGACAAGGAGCGAAAGGCUGAUCCAGCAAUGCCGCGUGUGUGAAGAAGGUAUUCGGAUUGUAAAGCACUUUAAGUUGGGAGGCGUUACGAACAGAAUAAGCACCGGCUAACUUCGUGCCAGCGGCCGCGGUAAUAA